UCUUCUUCUUCAGCUUCAGGGCUUGUAACCAGUUGGGCGAUGAUCCUUCUGACCUAGAGGGUACAGGGCAAAGGUCAUGAGGCAAUCCUCGGGAAAGGCCAAUCCAGUGAGGCCGGCCGAGGUCACCUACCCUGAGGAUUUCUCUGGCUUGGGAGGUAACGCAAGGGGCUUCCCCAGCCCUGGGACCUUGCAGGACUUGGAACGCUGCACCGCGGACUCCUUCUGGCUGGGCUUGCUCUCCACAGGCUCCCCCUCCUCAGCCGAGCGGUUCCGGGGGCGCAGCUUGGCCUAUGAGAUGAGCCCAAACGCACAGACACAUUAGAGAAGAAGGGGGGCGGUCACGGAGGGCAAGGCCUCCUCCCAAGAGUACGCAGCCCCCAGAACCAGGCACAGACCCCUCUGCAAGGCUUUUACCCAGAUGGGUGAGGAAUCGCUUAAAGACAAGCUUCCCAGAGCAGAGCCAUCCCUUGCACAGAGUAGGUCCUCAAGAAGAUACUGCUGCACUCAGUCCAGACUAACUGGGCUGGACAAAGUCUGUAGUGACUUCAGAA